CGCACAUUGCGCCCGCCAGUACUCUGGCGGGCAUGCCUGUUCGAGCGUCAUUACAACCCUCAAGCCCUGCUUGGUGUUGGGGUCCUACGGCUGCCGUAGGCCCUGAAAGCUAGUGGCGGGCUCGCUACAACUCCGAGCGCAGUAAUAUAUCUCGCUAGGGAAGUGUUGCGGGUUCCGGCCGUUAAACCCCCCAAUUUUACAAGGUUGACCUCGGAUCAGGUAGGAAUACCCGCUGAACUUAA
rnacentral:misc_RNA from 1 species